UACAAGAUGGAAAAAAAAGCUAUUGAACUUGUGGAGAAAGUGGCUGGUUUAAAUUAGUCCUGUCCCUGAAAAUCCAAGCUGCGUGUUUGUCAGUCUUAUGGCUGAUUUAACUCAUAGGCCCAGGAGAGAAAGGAUAGAAGGAAGCCUGAAUGACCAGCAAAGAAUCUGCAUCCAAUCAACACUCAGAGCAUGUAUGCUACAUUCUUCAGAAACCUUCAGGAGUCAUAGACUGUGGUUGUAUCUGCUUCCCUGUGUCUACUUGCUGGCUUGGAACUUAUUAAGAUUGGAUCCUUCCUGGAAGAAAUUUGCUGAUGGAGGCAGAAGGACACUCAGAAUUGAAACUGGCUAUAAGAACAUAAGAAAAAGACCCCUGAAACUAGGAAAGAAAGCUUCAAAGAGAUGGUCAUUUAGACAUUUUUAAAGAAUGAGAGGAAUUGUUGGAGAAGAUUGGCAUGGGAGAAGAGAAUUGAAGCAGAGGGAACAGCAUGUACAAAGGUACAAAGAUGUGAAACAGAAUGACCCGCUGGAGGAACUACAUCCUACUGACUAGAAUAUAGUGUCCAUGUGGGCCUGUGGCACAAGGAGAGAUAGGAACCCAAACCCGGUUGGAAAAUACGUGGGCCUGUGGCACAAGGAGAGAGAGGAACCCAAACCCGGUUGGAAAAUACAAUCUGGGAGGCAGCUGCGGGGUGUGGAGGAG
rnacentral:lncRNA from 10 species